UACGAAGGGGGCAAGCGUUGUUCGGAAUUACUGGGCGUAAAGGGCGCGUAGGCGGCCGAUCAAGUCAGGCGUGAAAUUCCCGGGCUCAACCUGGGGGCUGCGCUUGAUACUGAUUGGCUUGAAUGCGGGAGAGGAUAGUGGAAUUCCCAGUGUAGAGGUGAAAUUCGUAGAUAUUGGGAAGAACACCGGUGGCUAAGGCGGCUAUCUGGCCCGUAAUUGACGCUGAGGCGCGAAAGCGUGGGGAGCAAACAGG
rnacentral:rRNA from 1 species